GAUGAACGCUAGCUACAGGCUUAACACAUGCAAGUCGAGGGGAAACGACAUCGAAAGCUUGCUUUUGAUGGGCGUCGACCGGCGCACGGGUGAGUAACGCGUAUCCAACCUGCCCAUCACUUGGGGAUAACCUUGCGAAAGUAAUACUAAUACCCAAUGAUAUCUCUAGAAGACAUCUGAAAGAGAUUAAAGAUUUAUCGGUUAUGGAUGGGGAUGCGUCUGAUUAGCUUGUUGGCGGGGUAACGGCCCACCAAGGCAACGAUCAGUAGGGGUUCUGAGAGGAAGGACCCCGACAUUGGAACUGAGACACGGUCCAAACUCCUACGGGAGGCAGCAGUGAGGAAUAUUGGUCAAUGGGCGAGAGCCUGAACCAGCCAAGUAGCGUGCAGGAAGACGGGCCUAUGGGUUGUAAACUGCUUUUAUAAGGGAAUAAAGUGAGAGUCGUGACUAUUUUUGUAUGUACCUUAUGAAUAAGGACCGGCUAAUUCCGU
rnacentral:rRNA from 1 species